rnacentral:rRNA from 1 species
UGCAGUCGAGCGAACAGACGAGGAGCUUGCUCCUCUGACGUUAGCGGCGGACGGGUGAGUAACACGUGGAUAACCUACCUAUAAGACUGGGAUAACUUCGGGAAACCGGAGCUAAUACCGGAUAAUAUAUUGAACCGCAUGGUUCAAUAGUGAAAGACGGUUUUGCUGUCACUUAUAGAUGGAUCCGCGCCGCAUUAGCUAGUUGGUAAGGUAACGGCUUACCAAGGCAACGAUGCGUAGCCGACCUGAGAGGGUGAUCGGCCACACUGGAACUGAGACACGGUCCAGACUCCUACGGGAGGCAGCAGUAGGGAAUCUUCCGCAAUGGGCGAAAGCCUGACGGAGCAACGCCGCGUGAGUGAUGAAGGUCUUCGGAUCGUAAAACUCUGUUAUUAGGGAAGAACAAAUGUGUAAGUAACUAUGCACGUCUUGACGGUACCUAAUCAGAAAGCCACGGCUAACUACGUGCCAGCAGCCGCGGUAAUACGUAGGUGGCAAGCGUUAUCCGGAAUUAUUG